UUAAAAUCCGAUUAGGCUCCAGCAUGCCUCCGUCAUGGCUCCGGGCUAGCCCCGCUGUAGACGGCGUCGGAAACCCAAGAGUCGGCCCUUCAACCUCCCUUUUUAUCUCUUUUCUAACCCCAGACCUAGACUUAGGGACCAAAAACUUGAAAACGAAGAAAAAUACUCAACCCACUCCCAUUUGUACCUCAUUAUGUACCCAUUUUGAAACCUGAAUGAAAUUCCAACGAGUCUCUAGGGUUUUCACGACGGAGGAAAAACUAUGAUAGUGGCGAAGGACAAAGGAAACGUAUGAGUUUUUUUUACUAUUUCCUUUAUAAAAUAUAUGUGACGAUACAAAAAAAGCGAAAUGAAUCACCUUUUCGAUGUAAAUUUCAAUUUUUCUAUUGAUUGCUUUGUAUACGUUUUUUUGUAACCCCUUUUACAAUGAAAAUGUUUUUGGCUUUAUAGCCGAAUGAUUACAACAAAUGCUGUCAAAUUUCUAUUUUUUUUUGUUUCCUUCUAUAUCUGCUGCUUGUUUGUCUUCUCUUGCAGGUACGGAGGUGUUUUGCUGGCACCUGGUGGCGUACGAGCGUGCGGACAAGGGUAGCUGGCAGCAGUACAUGGGGUAGCGGCACCAAGGGAACCCUAGGGUUUUGAAAAUGAUUAGGUUUUGGGCCUGUUUGGGUUAAUUUUUGCUGUUGGGUUAUUGUAAUUUGGGUUGCUUCUUUUUAUUUGUAUUUGGGCU
rnacentral:lncRNA from 1 species